AAUGAACGCUGGCGGCGUGCUUAACACAUGCAAGUCGAGCGAGGCCUGGGGGGCGAACUACCCACGAGUCGAGCGGCGGACGGGUGGAGUAACAACGUGGGUAACCGUACGCCCGGAACGGUAGGGGAAGUAACCUCGGGGAAACGUACGAGCUAAUACCGCAUGACAUCUCCGGGACGGAAAGUACCUGGCGAUCAAAGACGGGGUCGGCAAGAUCUCGCGCUACCGGAUGGGCCCG
rnacentral:rRNA from 1 species